rnacentral:snRNA from 1 species
GACUAAUCGAACCAUCUAG